AUUGAACGCUGGCGGCAGGCCUAACACAUGCAAGUCGGACGGUAGCACAGAGAGCUUGCUCUUGGGUAACGAGUGGCGGACGGGUGAGUAAUGUCUGGGGAUCUGCCCGAUAGAGGGGGAUAACCACUGGAAACGGUGGCUAAUACCGCAUAACGUCGCAAGACCAAAGAGGGGGAACUUCGGGCCUCUCACUAUCGGAUGAACCCAGAUGGGAUUAGCUAGUAGGCGGGGUAAUGGCCCACCUAGGCGACGAUCCCUAGCUGGUCUGAGAGGAUGACCAGCCACACUGGAACUGAGACACGGUCCAGACUCCUACGGGAGGCAGCAGUGGGGAAUAUUGCACAAUGGGCGCAAGCCUGAUGCAGCCAUGCCGCGUGUAUGAAGGAGGCCUUCGGGUUGUAAAGUACUUUCAGCGGGGAGGAAGGCGACGCGGUUAAUAACCGCGUCGAUUGACGUUACCCGCAGAAGAAGCACCGGCUAACUCCGUGCCAGCAGCCGCCGUAA
rnacentral:rRNA from 1 species